GUUUAUGACGCUGAAACUAUGUGCGUGGGUGCUGUGGUUGCGCAAGUAAUCAUUGUGCUUAUGUGUAUGGUGGAGUUAUACCUGUUUGGUUUGUCUUAAGAGGACACUCUGCUUCUUAAAGGGACAAAAUGCGUCUAGCAUUAUGAGAUUGAGCAAUAACAGGUCUGUGAUGCCCUUAGAUGUCCUGGGCUGCACGCGCGCUACAAUGAAGGUAUCAAUGUGUUUUAUCCUUGACCGAGAGGUAUGGGUAAACAUUGAACCACCUUCUUGGUUGGGAUUGUGGACUGUAACUGUUCACAUGAACCCGGAAUUCCCAGUAAGUGUGAGUCAUAAGCUUGCAUUGAUUACGUCCCUGCCCUUUGUACACACCGCCCGUCGCUACUACUGAUGAAUUGUUUAGUGAGGUCUCUGGACGUGUGCGCCGAAAUACUCUUGUAGUAAUUUGGUAUGUUACACAGAAGUUGACCGAACUUGAUUAUU
rnacentral:rRNA from 1 species